UACGAAGGGUGCAAACGUUGCUCGGAAUUAUUGGGCGUAAAGCGCACGUAGGCGGCCCAGCAAGUCGGAAGUGAAAUCCCACGGCUCAACCAUGGAAGUGCUUUCGAAACUGCUGGGCUUGAGUACAAAAAGAGGAUCGCGGAAUUCCCGGUGUAGAGGUGAAAUUCGUAGAUAUCGGGAGGAACACCAGUGGCGAAGGCGGCGAUCUGGGUUGAUACUGACGCUGAGGUGCGAAAGCGUGGGGAGCAAACAGG
rnacentral:rRNA from 1 species